rnacentral:lncRNA from 13 species
UGCAGUAGCUUUGCUGCUACUUAAACUACAUUUAAACCUGCGUAGUGUUGUGUAUAUAUUCUAUACAUAUUGGGUAGUAUUGGGUAGUAUUGUUGAUAUUAAGUUUAGACGUUGCGAGGUGUUAAGAACAGGCUGUUAUUUUUAUACUACUUCAACCAGUGUUGGAGUACUAAACUACGCGUAGUUAAACAUUUAACACCAUUUUGCAGUAGCUUUGCUGCUAGUUAAACUACAUUUAAACCUACGUAGUGUUUUCAGUAGUGAAAUACUUUCCUGCCAUUGUAGCAUUGUAGCUAACUAUUGGCACUACACACUACUUUUGUUUUUUUGCAAAAAAGAAAAGACAAUACCCACAUGAAAAAUACUAUAGUAUAAUAUGGUAGAAAUACUAUACUAUUUCCUGUAGUGUUUUUGCAGACUUUACUGUAGUAUUUCCUGUUGUGUUUUUGUGGACUAAAUUCUGUAGAGACACUACAGUGGAUACUGUAGUAGUUACUGUAGUGUAUUGUAGUAUUUCAAGUUAACUAUAAUAUAAAUACUGUAGUAAAAGAGAACUGUAGUAUAAACUAUAGUAAUUAAUGUUUGUUUUUUUGUGGAUUGUAGUAUAAUGGUGUAUUUGCUGUAGUGUUUUUACAGACAUUACUGUAGUAUUUACUAAAGUGUUUGUGUUUUAUUAUAUUUGAAAUAGAAGUCUUUGUCCUUCAGGAGACCUACUGGAGAAAUACUAAAAUAACACAUUUUCUACCACCUGCAGGGAGUUAGGACUGGGAUCUGAACAGGUAGUUCAGAGAUCCUGUUCUUUUCUACA